AACUGCAGAUGUUUGAGUUCUCCCAUUGUAUCUCAGCUACUGAGGAACGUUUUAUUUCAUAUCUGAGCACCGUGACCCUUUUUGGGAGAACCUUUCACAAUGGUAGCCCAGGGCCCAGCAGUUUUGUCUAAGGAGUAGUAAGAAAGAGCUGGUUGUGACACCACCUAUAACAAAAAUAAGAGGAUGGAAAUACUAAACACGGUUAAAAAGCCACACAACAAAACUUGGGCUACUUGGAUGGGAUCAGGUGAGAAAACUGUAGUUGCACCUUGACCAAAGAAGGUUCUUGUGAAGGUUUCCACGUACAAUGUGAUUUCAGCAGAGGUACCCUGCUUUCCACUCUAAGAACUGCAGAAUGCUUAACUGCUUCAUUUGUUGGCCUUCAAAGGGUAGCAGAGUUGUCUGCCGUGUGAAUAGUUGGUAGAAAUGGACAUUGCUCCUGGCAAAGUGAUGCUUCUGUGGCCUGCUCUGAAAAUGCAUUCAAUCGGAGUGACUCUAGUAAGGGGGAAAUAUAUGCAUUGCAUCUGCUCCAGACAUGAGACAGCAUGGGCUGGUGGCCUUCUGCAGGAGGAAUGGCUCUGCUCUCCCACAGGAGCUGCAGCACUGCCGUCUGCUCGCUGCCCCGCUUCCUCCAGCACUACACCUCUGCUUACACACAGAUGGGCUGAAGUUGUUCCUGCUUUUGGGAUGAGAAAAAGGAACAGUGGAUGUAUCCUGGAGAACGGAUUUAAGAGGUGUGUUAAAUUCUCCUUUGAUUCCUCCUUCGUAGCUACUCCUCACCUUUUUAUUUUUUUAUUUUUUGUGGGAGGAAUGACAGUCCUUUUCCCAGAAGCAGUUAAUGAACAGGAGCUGUCCUCUACCAUGAUGCCGACAUGCCAGCUCUCCAUACAUGCAAAACAGCAUUUAAGAUACCACAGAAAGGACUGCAUGAUUGUUAAAUAUCAUGGAAAAAAAAUGGGAUUAUUUCAUGUGAGGGCUUACUUCAUGCUCCUUCCACAGAUCUUUCUGUUUGCCUUGGGCUGUGAUUUCCUGUGGGCAGUGACCAAGGAACAGCAUGGUCUAGAUAAACUCUACUUAACAUGCUUACUUGGAUGGAGGUGGAUUGGCAUUGUCUUUUUUUCCAGGAGUCAAGACUGA
rnacentral:lncRNA from 1 species